rnacentral:rRNA from 1 species
CCUACGGGGGGCAGCAGUGGGGAAUAUUGGACAAUGGGCGAAAGCCUGAUCCAGCCAUGCCGCGUGUGUGAAGAAGGCCUUCGGGUUGUAAAGCACUUUCAGUGGGGAAGAAAGCCUUGGGGCUAAUACCCUCGAGGAAGGACAUCACCCACAGAAGAAGCACCGGCUAACUCCGUGCCAGCAGCCGCGGUAAUACGGAGGGUGCGAGCGUGAAUCGGAAUUACUGGGCGUAAAGCGCGCGUAGGCGGUCUGAUAAGCCGGUUGUGAAAGCCCCGGGCUCAACCUGGGAACGGCAUCCGGAACUGUCAGGCUAGAGUGCAGGAGAGGAAGGUAGAAUUCCCGGUGUAGCGGUGAAAUGCGUAGAGAUCGGGAGGAAUACCAGUGGCGAAGGCGGCCUUCUGGACUGACACUGACGCUGAGGUGCGAAAGCGUGGGUAGCAAACAGGAUUAGAUACCCCUGUAGUC